rnacentral:lncRNA from 1 species
GAUUCUUGAAAGACAAAUGUGAACUAAAGUAGUCAAGCCUAUCACCAGAAAACACUUGGAGCUAACUACUAGUAAUGUAACUAUAUACCGCCACAAGUAAUGUUACAAGACUGGUCGAUUACUAUGGAUCAUCACAAGUAACUACUAUAAUAUUGUGGGACGUUGUAUUUUGAAUCCUUCUGCUGUCUCAAAAGCCAUAUCAAAACACAAAUUUUAGAAUUUCCAAAAGCCAUUACCAACUCCUGUUCAGGCACAUAAGAAGCUCCCUAGAUAACUAAGCAAAAAGACUCGAUAAAUGUCCCUGAUGCUCCAAUAAUAAUCCACUUAAAACAAAAUGCAGUAGCAUGCAAUCGCACGUAAUCCAAGUUAAACACAUGUUACAAACCUGCCACAGAGAUUAGGAGUUUGGCAGAGGGAUUGGUGUAUCUUAAUCCAAGAUGCAAGCAAACUUUACAUUCGUAUUCAUAGUCCCCACGAGAACACAAGACAGGGGCUCUUCACUGUGUGAGCAACUUGGAGUCGCAAGCCACAAUCUUCACUCUCUUGACUUGGUCGUGGCAGUCCUCACUUUUGAAAACUGCAUCUUGCAAGAUGAAUGUCCACACGUUGUCACAGAACCUAUAGGUAUGCAGAUGACCCUGUAGAACAGUCUUGAGAAAAUAAGGUUUCUUGAUUACCAGGUUUAAUCAGAAAAAACGGCAAAAAUUAAACAUGAGGGCAUGAUAAUGGUUUGAUUUUAUUCUAUUAACAUCCGUAAUAUUGGUCUAGCAGUGGGAGCUUAUAUAUUGAGCAGAGAAUAGGGAAGCCAACCAUGGGCAUACUUGGCAUCUAUCAUGGGAUUUGGAUAGCAGAAAGUGCAGUAUGGGCAUGAGAUAACACACAGCCGAUUAUAAUAUCAAUAAACUACAGAAUAUUACUUAAGGGUCAAAAUAACCACCUAAUGAUCGGAUAGCUCUAAAUGAAAUAAAUCUUCACAUGAUUAAAGGAACUGAUGGACCUGAAAGAUUGAUAAGGGAAAAAAAAGGAAACUUCAGGCUUAAGAGGCAAGCAGUUGUCCAUACAAAGCAAAACUGCAGGAUAGGAACUCCCCUUUCAAUAGCUCCAUAUGCAUAAUUUAGUUAAUCCAGAUAAGAUCAGAAAUAAAAUAUUUCUUUUACCACUUAACUACAAUAAUUUAGUGCAGAAUUGGAGUAUUGCAUAUUGCAUGAGUGCAGGUGCACAGUGACCUACAGUAUCUGCAGACAAGAUGAGAAUAGUUGGUACUCAUGACACACAACAGUAUGUUCAGUCAGUCAAACUUUCCAUUCUGGUAGACUUGAAUAAGCAAGAUCAACUCAUCUUCAGAAAAAAUAAUGCACAUUUCAGAAAUUUAGAAGGAAAGAAAAGUUCUUAACUAGUAGAAAACAGAAAGUCCUGAAAACAAGGUUUAGCAGCAAAUCAGUUGAUUCAUUAUAUGUGCUGAAUACAUGCAUAUACCACAUAGACAAUUAUUGAACCAUAUAUAUAAAUUACCCAGAGAUAAGCUCAAAAUAAGAGAGAAUGUAAUCAAGUAGAAAGAUUGUUUCUUAGUCUCAAACAACCUCGGAAUAAAAGAUACAAGAGAGUACAGGGUAAAAGGACUUGACGGGUUAAUUUAACAAUUACCAUUGAUCUAGAAUUUUUCAUGGGAUUUUAGAGUGUCAACUUAAAAUACAAAAGUAAUGUCAUGAAGUGAUCAAGGGGAACAAAUGUCUGACUCCUAAAACAUUUCAACAAACUAAACACAUCAAACACGUAGAGAGAGUAUGAUAUCAUAAACACACCAAUCCUUUGGGUUAAUGCUUCUUUAAAAGGUUCAUGCUCAAGUUUCAGAUGCUAAGAUAAUCAAAGAAGCAAUCAGUGGCAAUGGUUUCAGGUGCUCACACAGACUAAAACCCUAUUUGACCCCAAAAAGCUAUGCUUCAUCUGCUAUUUAAGGCCCAAGAUUUGACUGAAGUCGAAGCACAGAAAGUAACGUACAUAUCAGCCUGAGCCUCGUCUACUAUUUCUCAUUAAUCACACAAGUUCAAGUCUAAGUGAUGCCUGAACAGAGAGAAUGAAAGCUAUGUGAUUUCAUCAAUAUGUCCAAGAAGGUUCAGAUUUCUUUUGGAAGAGUCCAGAGUCAGACCCAGUCCAGGAUAUUGGACUUUUUAUGGGAAUGGCAUGACUGGGCGUGCAACAUGCCAAGUUCAAUUUUGGUCGAAGUUGAAUAAAAAAAGAAAAAGAUUCAUGACUUGCUCUUGUAUUCUUAUGACAAUUCUUUUAGUAAUAUUUUCUAAUCCACAAAUAUAUAACUAAUAUAAAAAAUUACAGAAGAAUACCUUUAGUAAUGAAAUUUGUGUAAAUAUUCAUUCAGUGAUUUAAAUGACACAACAUGCAAUUAAAAUAUUUAAAUGACUAGAAUGAUCCAGAGGCAUAUGUGCUCACAAGCAUGGAGAACAACCAAUUCUGGAUGAUGAUGAUUAGCAUGGUCCAGAGGCAUAUAUGAUCACAAGCACGGAUUGCCUUACUGAGGGAAUAACCAAUUCUGGAUGAUGACUAGCACAAUCCAGAGGCAAUAAAUUAGCAAUGAAGAUAUAUGAUCACAUGCACAUAUUGCCUUACUCAGAGAGAACCAAUUUGCACAGCAUGUAUUGGCAAAAAGAAAAGAGAUACUUGAUGCUUAGUGAGGCUGGAAGAAAGAAAAUCCCUAGAGCUACUUGAUGCUUCUUUCAAUGAGAAUGAGAGGCGUAAAGUUUGCUAGGGUAGCAGUACACUUCCCCAAGUUGAUUGUUGAAAAGGUUCGUAGUAUUCUUAAAAAAGAUGCUUCUAGUUUGCUUCAACAUUCACAACUAUAUUUAAUGCAAUUUUGCUGUUCAAUCGGAAGAAAGGACAAACUUCAAGUCAAUUAGUAUCUUUCAUCCAUCAAAAUUUAUCUGUUGGAAAUUUUAGGUUGAGUAAUAGAAUGUGAAUCAUGCAUAAUUUGUUUCAAUAAAAAAUUGUUAAAAACAGAUGAAGGUUCAGCAGCAAAAGCAUUUGGAAUGAGAAAUGAUAUUUCCUCGAUAUAAUAUUAAACUGGUCUUCGUAAGACCCUUGGCCACAAAUUAAGUUCCUUUGGUCCCUAUUCGUCGCAAUUAACUGAAUCAAGGCAUUGGCCUAAUGGUUGACAUCCAAUUUAUUUUGAAAGAUUUUGGGUUCAAAUACUUGUAAUGGUGAUGUCGAAGAAUUUGAGCUAUAUAAUUUUAUAGCUUGAGAUCCAUCUACCACUCUCCAGUAUUAAAAUGAAACACAGAAACUCAUGAGUCAAGACCUCAGACAGAUGUCACACUUAAUAUUUAGUGAGAUAAUAACACAUUGGUCGUAUGACAUGUUGACACUAAAAGAUUAAAGACAAAACUAUUGUUAGAAGAAUCAACUGUUGUCAAUGUUAAAUUAAAAUAUGAAAAAAAAAUUAAUUUUAAAGAAGCAACAAAAGUAAAAGAGGCAAUCAGAGGCACAAGUGAACUGGAUAUACAUGACAAAGAAUAUGCCUAAUAGCAAAAGUUUACCUUAAUCGAAACCUUGCUCUUGACUUGCGUCUCCAAGGCAUCUGUCAUAGACUGUGAGGAGAACAAAUUCAAAGGAAAAAGAACUUAAAAGCAUGACUGCUAAAAUCUCCAAAAGAAAAUUUUCCAGGGUUUAACUUAAAUUUACCUUAUCAAACUGCAUAAGGACUUGGAUAGCUAGCUCCGGGCUCAACGUACCGCUGGAAACCAUCUCAUCUAGGGUUUCUGUCAAGCACAUGCCAAUGGAGGACCUUCGGUACAAUUCAAAUGUGGCCAUGGCCUAUUCUAGCACUCCAAUUAGCAAAAGUUAUUUAGUAACAAAAGCUCAGGAUUUCAAAACAAAGAAAAGCAAAAAGGCAACAAUAAACAACUAGAAACAAAGAAUGGGCUGGUAUAUUUUAUUUUUUCUAUUAAGUGGAGGUAGCAACUCUUUAACAUAUUAGAAAUUGAACCGUAGCAGAAGAUUAACAUCAUAAAUAACAAUAAUAAAAACCACUAGAAAGACUUGACACCAAAAGGAUGCUUUAUAUAAUAAAUGAGGGCUUCGGAAUAACGACCAGCUCAAGAAGAAAAGUGAAAAGUGUAAGAAAGAAAGGGGGAAGUAGAUAUCACACUUCCCUAUGCCAUGAAAGAGGCAUUGACAUAACAGCAAGCAAAUGUUUAAAACAGCAACCCAAUUAGUAGACAAUGUCAAUUAGGAAAAGUUUUUCUAAAUACAUCUUUGAUAUAGUUGAAGCAUAUUCCCAGAGCAAAGCCCGUCAGAGCAUAAUUACUUGCCGAAUCAAGUAAGAAAGAUAUGCUCUUUCAUCCAAAGAAUAAACAGAAGAACGAAUCCCCUUUUACAUGGUAAAGUAGGAUGGAGAUAAAGACAUGCAUGAAACAAGCAACAGAUCUUUGGUCUUCUAGACAAUAAAAACAAAAAAAAUAUUUGUGUUUUAUCUUCUGUUUUACAGAACAUGUUUGGCAGUCACAUCUUCAUAACAUGGACAGGCACAACCUAGAGCUUCUAUCUUUAAUCUCCUUGUGCAUACAUGAAUUAUGUUUCAACAAUCGUUAUGUGCACAUUAGGCAUUUGUAAAUCAAGAAGCCAAGCAAAUCCAGUUAUAAAAAUUUAAGUGACUAAUAAAGAUCUAUGAUGGACAUUUUACAAUGCAGACACCUGCAAUUUUGAGUUUAGAAUGGCAAAUAAAUUAGAGAACAUCGUAUCAAUAAUGUCAUAAAACCAUACCAGUUCUAAAAAUGUAACCACACUUAAGUUUAAACAUCACAGAGCAUAUACAACCAUGGGGUUUACUGAAUAUGAGUAGGUGAAAAUACUUGUUUGAAUUGGCACUUACUCCAUCAUGAUUACAAGCAUCAUGAUCAAAAUUAUGUAAAGAAAGCUAGAUAAUAUAAAAUCUUCAUCCUUCAAUAUACCAUGUGCUUCGUCCUCUAAAAACCACUCAUAAGCCUCCAGUCAUCACAUGUCAAAAAAGAAACUAAAUAAUGGCAAACCAAUCAGAGACUUGAAUACAAUAAGGAUCGCGUUUUCUGCGAAUGAAGUAUCACAUGCCACGAUCUCUCAGCAAAGACUAACUCUAUCGAGUCUAAAAAGAAACCGUAAUUAACAUUCAAGUACUCGAACAACACAAAGAACCACAAAUCAAACGCUACAACCGAGACAACAUCCCAAACCCAUCAAAUCAAAGCAAAGUUGGCUUUUUUCGGUUCAUCCAAAUCGAACCAACGCCAAACCAAAAUCCACGAACAAAGGAAACAAAAUAAGAACUAAAACAAGGGGCUUCGGUUCCCGCGGGUAAGACGGAGGAAAAGGGAGAAGAAACGGAAGGAAAUGACCUCGGAUCGCGAUAUCUCGAGCUAAAACUCGAAUGCCGAAACCCUAAUCGCCUCAGGACGAGGACGAGGCCGGAUUCCCAGGGGCUUGGGGCGAUGGUCAAAGAGAGCUCGGCACGAGGGCGAGCUCGAAGAAGGAGAGGAAGAGAGGAACGCAGCGAGAGAUCGGCGUCCAACGGGGGAUUUCAAAUGGAGGAUUAUAUAAGCGAUGGCAUCGGAGAGGAAGAUAUAUACAUAGAGAGAAAAGGGACGGCUGGAGGGACUCUUUAAUUUCAUUGUUCGCACACUAAAUCUGUGCGGUGGGAAGAUCCACCGUCCGUUUGAUCAAUCUAAUGGAUCCUGGCCGUCCGAGCUCAGUGAUGCGAUCAUGCGUGGCUCUUGGACGCAUGACUGCGACCCCGAGUCGGCCCGGGUCGACUCUGUAGCAGUGCUGCAAACUCGGACGAGUAGGUCGAUUCGAAUCGGGCGUCAGGUUAUUGUGGACAACAAAAGCUAUAAAUACAAACCACAAGUCAAACUGGGUUUAAACAUUUGCAACGAGUUCUCUAUAACGGCUUUGGUGGCCGCAUGGUUUCCAUAAGAAUCGUUGUCUUGGUGUAUGCAAAAUGCUUGGAAUGAAUAUACCUUUGUCAUCGGCCCGUCCAACUCCGAUGACCACUGCGCAUGCCCACCGUUGUGGUGGCGCAGGCGGUGAUGACGAUGUCAACGAUCCGUCCCGCCGCAAGCAGAGCACACAGUCGACACCGACCCCGUAUUCCCGGCGGAGGAGGAAGUCGAAAAAGAUGGCGUUGGUAUUCCACCUACGCAAGCGCCAAGGAACAACAGACAAGCGCCAAGGAAGUACGAAGGGGCGGCUCCAGGAGGAAAGCACAACAGACAAGGAGAAGCAGUGGGAAGACGAAUUGGACCGGGGAACAGGCGAACAAGGAGGAGGAGGAGGGAGAAGAAGGUGCCGCGGAGGCACCAACGGCGUCAGGAGGAGCGGUCGAGGGGACUCGGGAAGCAUAAUACUAGCAAUAGUAUCAUAUAAUCCUAAUAAUUGAUUUGAUGAAAAUGAAAUGAGUUAUAAUACUUGAUAAUCGAUUAAAUAUAAAAAAAUAUAUUUUAUUUUAAAAUUAUAAAAAUUAUAUAUAAAGAUUUAUACAAAUAUUUUAAAACUAUAUACUUUGUGGAUUGAUUUAACGAAAAAUAUCUUGAUUACACUCGAGCGAGGUAUAUUCAUUCACCGUCCGAAUGGAUCCGAAAUGAAUCGACUCAUGAAUUUGUGACUUGAAAUAGUCUGAUUAUAAUAAAAAAAAAUUAAAAUUAAAAAAAAAUAUAUAUAUCUCUUGAUAAAAUCAAAUAUAAGGGUGCUACAAAGAUAAAACUCAUUACUAAGAAUUUUUAUUUUUCUUUGGUAAAUUGCCCCAUUACUGUUACAGACCAAUAUCAUCGAUCAUCGUUAGGAAAGUGGGAGGUCUAUCAAUGGAUUUCCUAACAGACAUCGACCCGCAAAUAAUCUCGCUCUGGGAAUUGCCAAUACCUAAAUGCAGUGAACUUAAUUGUUGAUGACAGACUGGUUUUGCUUGUGCUAUCAUGUGGAUUGCGAUGACGGAUGGGAUAGCUUCAUACUGAAACUACUUGUUGAGUUGGAAGUAUGUGUUACAGAGAUGAACCAAAUGUUCCUCUCAGGUGACCACAUUGACCUAAAUUUCUUGUGAUAAUUAAAUCACGACAUUUUUGUAUGAAAUUAUUCAGGUUUCAUCGGAAACCUACCUUUUCUUAGAUUUUAUAUCAAGAUAUGGAACUGAGGUUAGAGUCAUCAAGUUGGAACUCAUGACAAAAUGUCGAACCCACAAAACAUCCAUGCAAGAGUAUGAUUCAGGUUUAGAGUUUAAAACACAGAUUUUACACACAAAAAAAAAGAGCUAUCUCAAACUAUGUAAUGAAACUACCAUAUACUGCCACAAGUAAUGUUACAAGAUGACAAGUGGAUUACUACGAUCAUCACAAGUAACUACUAGAAUAUUGUGCGCCAUUGUAUUUUGAGUCCUUUUUGUACUGUGUCUCAAAAGCCAUAUCAAAACACACAUUUUGGAAUUUCCAAAAGCCAUUAGCAACUCCUGUUCAUGCACAUAAUAAGCUCCCUAGAUAACUAAGCAAAAAGACUCCAAAAAUGUCCCUGAUGC